UACGUAGGGUGCGAAGCGUUAAUUCGGAAAUUACUGGGCGUAAAGCGUGCGCAGGCGGCUUUGCAAGACAGAUGUGAAAUCCCCGGGCUCAACCUGGGAAUUGCAUUUGUGACUGCACGGCUAGAGUGUGUCAGAGGGGGGUAGAAUUCCACGUGUAGCAGUGAAAUGCGUAGAGAUGUGGAGGAAUACCGAUGGCGAAGGCAGCCCCCUGGGAUAACACUGACGCUCUGCACGAAAGCGUGGGGAGCAAACAGG
rnacentral:rRNA from 1 species